rnacentral:tRNA from 1 species
AAGUGGGAAGCAAAUGUUGCAAUCAGUUUCGACCUGAUCUUAGAUAAAAUCACCUUAUCCCCACUUU